rnacentral:other from 1 species
AGUUCCCUGCUUUGUGCGUGAUGGCGGUAGGCUCGUUGAGCCAAUGUUUACCCAAGUGAGUCGCGACGCCGCGUGGUGUGCAUGCCUCUGUAGCGAGGAAGCCUGAAGCGCGGCUUGUUUGAGCGGUUCCACCUGCUUUAGCAGGUUCAUCGACCUCCUCCACACGGCAAAGCGGGGCUUUU